AACAGUGACUUGAAAUUGGUGACAAAAUCGAUCAAGCAAUACAUUUUAAUGCUAGUUACAUUAACAUUAUCCUACUUAAACCUUAAUAUCAAAGUUAGUAGCCUUAUGAUUACCGUAAUGAACUACGAUCAGAACGAUGAAAGAUCAUAUAUUUACUUUGUCAAAUUACCCGAAAUUGAGCAUAAGUGCGCUAUAGGAUGUAAGAAUUUACGUUCAGCGAACGUCGGUUAUAUAAUCGAUCUGGCUAGAGAUGUAGCCGCAAGAAACAGGUAUGAAUACACUGAUGAGCCCACAGUUUUCUGUCCGGAUAUCGGUAUGAUUAUUAUUGAUAACACCGCGUUGGCAUUCUGUAUAUCGAAGGGAUAUACUUUUGAAGUUUUUAAUGGCAUAAAAGAGGUUAAACAGGAGCAUAAACCUAAGCCGGAAGAGGAGCCGAUUCAAAAGCCAAAAGAUGAGCCAAAACAAGAGGCAAAGGAAGAACGAAAUGAAGAUCCAAAAGCAGAGCAAAAAGAUGAGAAUGACGAAGGCAAAGUAUUAUUUUCUUGUAUAAAAUCAAAACCGAAUUAAUUGAAGUGCCGAUUAUGCUUGCCAGGUGCUCGCGGAUCCCGAAUCAGAAUGACGAUCUUCUGGCUUACUGUUAAUUAUUAUGUUAUAAAUAAUAAUUUUAAAAAUUUCAUAAUAGAGCCGGAUGUUGAUUAGUAUUGUAUUUACUGGAACAAGAAGUUAUCUUACGAGCGAUUUGAAAAACAGCAGUUACAAAUUGUUAACUGACUGUUAUGCCCAGUUGACACUGUUAACUGAUGGACAGGGCUGUUAUACGAUUGCCAGUAUAACUCGAAUGCAUGUGGUUGGCAACGCCAUUGCCGAGCAUUGAAAAACUACAAUAUAUAACUUGUAGGCCAAGAUAUUAUUACGCACAUAUUAACUUAUAACAACAGUCGCCACCGAUAGAUCUAAUUAAAGACAAAAGUUCAAUGACCAAAACAUUUCAA